rnacentral:rRNA from 1 species
CACGCUGUAAACGAUGAAAACUAAGUAUUGCCGCGAGGCAGUGCUGCAGCUAACGCAUUAAGUUUUCCGCCUGGGGAGUACGCUCGCAAGAGUGAAACUUAAAGGAAUUGACGGGGGCCCGCACAAGCAGUGGAGCAUGUGGUUUAAUUCGACGCUACGCGAAGAACCUUACCAGGACUUGACAUGGAAUUUAAAACGCUAGAGAUAGAGCCAUAACAAGUGCACACAGGUGG